rnacentral:rRNA from 1 species
CCUACGGGAGGCAGCAGUGGGGAAUAUUGCACAAUGGGGGAAACCCUGAUGCAGCGACGCCGCGUGAGCGAUGAAGUAUUUCGGUAUGUAAAGCUCUAUCAGCAGGGAAGAAAAUGAAGGUACAUGACUAAGAAGCCCCGGCUAACGACGUGCCAGCAGCCGCGGUAAUACGUAGGGGGCAAGCGUUAUCCGUAUUUAAUGGGUGUAAAGGGGUGGUAGACGGUCCUGCAAGCCAGAUGUGAAAGACCGGGGCUCAACCCCGGGACUGCAUUUGGGACUGUAAGGCUAGAGUGUCGGAGAGGCAGGCGGAAUUCCUGGUGUAGCGGUGAAAUGCGGAGAUAUUAGGAGGAACACCAGUGGCGAAGGCGGCCUGCUGGACGAUGACUGACGUUGAGGCUCGAAAGCGUGGGUAGCAAACAGGAUUAGAUACCCCAGUAGUC